UAGGGAAUCUUCGGCAAUGGACGAAAGUCUGACCGAGCAACGCCGCGUGAGUGAAGAAGGUUUUCGGAUCGUAAAACUCUGUUGGUAGAGAAGAACGUUGGUGAGAGUGGAAAGCUCAUCAAGUGACGGUAACUACCCAGAAAGGGACGGCUAACUAUGUGCCAG
rnacentral:rRNA from 1 species